UGUCAAUCGAGGAGUGCGGAGUGCUCUUUAUUUACAGCAUAAUUAUAUAUAAGUAUAGCUGGUGAUGUAGGAUUCAUUUUCCGAUUUACAAGAGAGAUUUACAAAAGAGAGGAAAUAUCAAUUAAUUUUUUUACGUUCUAUAAUAGAUUUGUCCUUGGACAUUAAAAAUAUCAUCAAGGGCAAUGAAUAUGUCUUAACAUAUGGGAUCAAUUGUUGUAUCAAAUUCAAAAAACCACCAUUUGAAAAAUUUGACCCUGGCUAAGAUAAACAUCAGUGAACAAUAUAUUAUAAGGAAAACUCUGUACAAGAUACUAGAAAUGCUAAAAGAUGACCAAGAAGCUUUUACACAAGUUAGGCUAUUAAACAACAAUC